rnacentral:lncRNA from 1 species
ACCCUGGGCGAGUCGCUGAACCUCUCUGGGCCUCAGCUCCUCCUGGCCACUGCCCAGACACUUUACUUCAAAUUUGGCUUUAUUUUCAUCAUUGAUAUUGAUUAAAAUGACAUUCACUUGCCCGGAAAGUAAAAGAGGUCUUCAGCACAAAAUAUUGCUCCAACAAGCAAGCAUAAAUCACUGAGAUUGAAAUGUCAUCUAUCUUUAUUGGCCAACCACAUAAUCUCCAUGAAAAUUCUCAACAGAGAGCAAGGAACUCACUUUCUUCUAAGCAAAGACAAUUUGGAUUUGCCUCGUGGCACUGGCAUCUCUUCAUGUCUGGACGUCAGAUGUUAGCUUGGUGCCUUUCUCCCUUAUCAGGGGGACAUUUUGAACCCAGCCGCACCAAUGUUCUCAUGGAUGGUGGCCUUCGAUUCUUCUAGAUUCAAGAUUUGGCUCUUGUACUUUUCCUGCCAGUCCUCUACAAUGUACUGGUGGUAGGGGUCAUUGGAGUGUUCCCGUCUCUUGGAUUUCACAGUGCUCACCAGGAUGGCCACGAUGAUGAAAGAGAACAUUCCAAUCAUCACCAUGAGGUACAGGAUGACAUAGUAGAAGUUCUCAGCAUCAACUUUGGCUUGGAGGGCCUCUUGCUCAGCUGUUGUGUUCUGGCGCCAAUUGUCCAUAUAAGUAAUA